rnacentral:rRNA from 1 species
GAUGAACGCUGGCGGCGUGCCUAAUACAUGCAAGUCGAGCGAACGGACGAGAAGCUUGCUUCUCUGAUGUUAGCGGCGGACGGGUGAGUAACACGUGGAUAACCUACCUAUAAGACUGGGAUAACUUCGGGAAACCGGAGCUAAUACCGGAUAAUAUUUUGAACCGCAUGGUUCAAAAGUGAAAGACGGUCUUGCUGUCACUUAUAGAUGGAUCCGCGCUGCAUUAGCUAGUUGGUAAGGUAACGGCUUACCAAGGCAACGAUGCAUAGCCGACCUGAGAGGGUGAUCGGCCACACUGGAACUGAGACACGGUCCAGACUCCUACGGGAGGCAGCAGUAGGGAAUCUUCCGCAAUGGGCGAAAGCCUGACGGAGCAACGCCGCGUGAGUGAUGAAGGUCUUCGGAUCGUAAAACUCUGUUAUUAGGGAAGAACAUAUGUGUAAGUACCUGAGCACAUCUUGACGGUACCUAAUCAGAAAGCCACGGCUAACUACGCG